GACGAACGCUGGCGGCGUGCCUAACACAUGCAAGUCGAGCGGGGAUUUAAGUGGAAGUUCUUCGGAAUGGAGAUUUAAAUUCUAGCGGCGGACGGGUGAGUGACGCGUGAACAAUCUGUCCCGGACAGGGGGAUAACACUUGGAAACAGGUGCUAAUACCGCAUAAGACCACGGCCUCGCAUGGGGCUGAGGUAAAAGGAGCAAUCCGGUUCGGGGUGAGUUCGCGUCCGAUUAGCUAGUUGGUGAGGUAACGGCCCACCAAGGCGACGAUCGGUAGCCGGCCUGAGAGGGUGAACGGCCACAUUGGAACUGAGAGACGGUCCAAACUCCUACGGGAGGCAGCAGUGGGGAAUAUUGGGCAAUGGGCGAAAGCCUGACCCAGCAACGCCGCGUGAGGGAAGAAGGUUUUCGGAUUGUAAACCUCUGUCCUAUGGGACGAAGGAAGUGACGGUACCAUAGGAGGAAGCCCCGGCUAACUACGUG
rnacentral:rRNA from 1 species